UACGGAGGGUGCGAGCGUUGUCCGGAAUCACUGGGCGUAAAGGGCGCGUAGGCGGCGCGGGUAGUCAUCGGUGAAAGCUCAGGGCUCAACUCUGAAUCGGCCGGUGAUACUCCCGUGCUCGAGCACUGUAGAGGCAGGUGGAAUUCCGGGUGUAGCGGUGGAAUGCGUAGAGAUCCGGAAGAACACCAAUGGCGAAGGCAGCUCGCUGGGACGUGACUGACGCUGAGACGCGAAAGCGUGGGGAGCAAACAGG
rnacentral:rRNA from 1 species